UACAGAGGGUGCAAGCGUUGUUCGGAAUUAUUGGGCGUAAAGAGCUCGUAGGCGGCUUGUCGCGUCGUCCGUGAAAACCCACAGCUCAACUGUGGGCUUGCGGUCGAUACGGGCAGGCUAGAGUUCGGUAGGGGAGACUGGAAUUCCUGGUGUAGCGGUGAAAUGCGCAGAUAUCAGGAGGAACACCGGUGGCGAAGGCGGGUCUCUGGGCCGAUACUGACGCUGAGGAGCGAAAGCGUGGGGAGCGAACAGG
rnacentral:rRNA from 1 species